rnacentral:rRNA from 1 species
GAUGAACGCUGGCGGCGUGCCUAACACAUGCAAGUCGAGCGAAGCACUUUAAUUUGAUUCUUCGGAUGAGGAUUUUUGUGACUGAGCGGCGGACGGGUGAGUAACGCGUGGGCAACCUGCCUUACACAGGGGGAUAACAGUUAGAAAUGACUGCUAAUACCGCAUAAGACCACAGUACUGCAUGGUGCAGUGGUAAAAACUCCGGUGGUGUAAGAUGGGCCCGCGUCUGAUUAGGUAGUUGGCGGGGUAACGGCCCACCAAGCCGACGAUCAGUAGCCGACCUGAGAGGGUGACCGGCCACAUUGGGACUGAGACACGGCCCAGACUCCUACGGGAGGCAGCAGUGGGGAAUAUUGCACAAUGGGGGAAACCCUGAUGCAGCGACGCCGCGUGAGCGAUGAAGUAUUUCGGUAUGUAAAGCUCUAUCAGCAGGGAAGAAAAUGACGGUACCUGACUAAGAAGCCCCGGCUAACUACGUGCCAGCAGCCGCGGUAAUACGUA